rnacentral:rRNA from 1 species
UACAGAGGGUGCGAGCGUUGUUCGGAAUUAUUGGGCGUAAAGGGCGCGUAGGCGGCUUUGUAAGUUAGAGGUGAAAGCCCGGGGCUCAACUCCGGAACUGCCUUUAAGACUGCAUCGCUUGAAUCCGGGAGAGGUGAGUGGAAUUCCGAGUGUAGAGGUGAAAUUCGUAGAUAUUCGGAAGAACACCAGUGGCGAAGGCGGCUCACUGGACCGGUAUUGACGCUGAGGUGCGAAAGCGUGGGGAGCAAACAGG